GUUAGCUGGAAAGGGCCACUCACUAGCUAAGAUUUUCAGUUGUGCUUUCUCUGCCAAUGAUCAUCACACUUAGCUCAGUGCAGGAGCUCGCAGCAAUAAGUGAGGCAAUGGCGGGUGCCUCGUUUUUCCAUUCUUAAAUAACUUGACUACUUACCCAGGAAGAGCACAAGUGCAUACCUAUUAACAUAUCAAAGACAGUGG